AUUGAACGCUGGCGGCAGGCCUAACACAUGCAAGUCGAGCGGAUGAAGGGAGCUUGCUCCUGGAUUCAGCGGCGGACGGGUGAGUAAUGCCUAGGAAUCUGCCUGAUAGUGGGGGAUAACGUCCGGAAACGGGCGCUAAUACCGCAUACGUCCUGAGGGAGAAAGUGGGGGAUCUUCGGACCUCACGCUAUCAGAUGAGCCUAGGUCGGAUUAGCUAGUUGGUGGGGUAAAGGCCUACCAAGGCGACGAUCCGUAACUGGUCUGAGAGGAUGAUCAGUCACACUGGAACUGAGACACGGUCCAGACUCCUACGGGAGGCAGCAGUGGGGAAUAUUGGACAAUGGGCGAAAGCCUGAUCCAGCCAUACCGCGUGUGUGAAGAAGGUCUUCGGAUUGUAAAGCACUUUAAGUUGGGAGGAAGGGCAGUAAGUUAAUACCUUGCUGUUUUGACGUUACCAACAGAAUAAGCACCGGCUAACUUCGUG
rnacentral:rRNA from 1 species